UUUUUGUUUUUUUGUUUUUUUUUUAAGAACAAACUGAAAUGAAGAGCCCAUGAGUGGGGCUGGGACAAGGCAGGCUCAGGUGAAGAAUUGGUCAGCAUGCCAUGCCUCCUACAAGGGAGGCUGUCAGUCUUGCCCUAAAUAGAUUGAGGCCAUGACAUACGGUGAAGCCGUAUGUCAUGGCCUCUUUGACCUUGGGAGUCUGGGGGCAGCCAGGUGCCUCAAACAGCAUAUAUCUACAAUAUAGAAAAAUGAAUAUAUGUUAGGGAAGUCUUCCUAAAAAUAUCUCUAAUUUUGUGUCUCUUUUGUACCAAAUCUUCAGUUUUAUAAUCAGAUGAUACUUCUGCUUUUCUAGUAAGGGACCACAAUCUUACCCCAGUUAUUUAGGGGGAAAAUGGUGUCUCUGUGCUUAGAGAAAAAAGACUAGAUUGAAGUAAAAUAUCUAAAUGAUUAUCCCCUAGUAAUGGGAUUUAGUAAUUUUAAUUUUAUAUUCUAUAAAAUUUUUUGACUUUUAUAGAAGUGAGUGUCCAAAAUCUUUUUUCCCCACAAUUAACAUGAGUUAACUCCCUCCAUUAUAAAGUAAUUAAAAAUACACAGUUAAAGCACUUACUACUUUUAAUGCUGCAUGGAAAGCAGGAAGAUAGGUUGCUGGCUGUGAUGUUUUUGUGGCCUAUUCAUUUUUCAAUUAAAUGGCUUCAUAACUAAUAAAUCAAUCUAUUUAAGAUUGAAUUAUGUGAAUGACUCACUCAAGGUCUGAUGAAUUGAUAAUACUAAGUUUCUGAGUCUGUAGAGAAGUCCUUGAAAAAUGUAGUUACUCUUUAGGGUACAGUCUUGUUACUCAGCAGACUCUGACUGUUCACUUCAGGGUCGGGAAGGGUUACCCGUCCACCCUUGGAUGUAUUUCAGUUUGUGAUGCUGCAUUCUGUAAUGGCAGCUCUUUGGGCUCUUUUUACUGUUUUUAUUUGGUCUGAGUUUUGUUUCAUCUGCUUCCUCAUAUCUCAGCAUAUGCCUUGCUGUCCUGCUACUCCUUCCCUGUACCUCCAGCUACUCUUUUAGUCCUUAGAGGUGCUCUCUUUCUGCCCCGCCCCCUCUGUUUGUCUCUCUUCUAGUUCCUGAUGGUUUUGUACCACUUUCUAGUCGGCGUAUGCCAGAUGAGAUUUUUAGGCAAGCUAGAUAAUAGUGACUGGAGCAGAUUCACUAAAUGUGACUGUCAUUCCAAGAGUGGCUUCCUGCUUAGUUUUCUUUAGCUGCUUCUCAGGAGUGAGCUCGUUUUUACAGGGAUAUCAUCAUUGUCCGAAAGCAGCUUAUUACUCUUAACUAAUGACUGUUUUUCUUGGCCUCUGAAAUCUAACAAAUAAAAACCCACUUCCUUUUUCUAAAUACUGUGGAUUCCAUGGGAUUAGGAGCACUUACUGAGAGUGCUGAUAAACUAAUCAUUAUUUAAAUGCUAUCAUUGUGAAAAUUAUUGAAUAAAAUAAUGUUCUGUAACGUCAAUCAUAUAUAAAUAUUUUCUUAGUCUCAAACAAAACGAUUCUAUAUAAAAAUAAUCCCAUGAUGAAAUUUUUUUUUUUUUUUUUGGUCUUUUUAAGGCUGGACCCACAGCAUAUGGAGAUUCUCAGGCUAGGGGUGAAAUUGAAGCUGUAGCUGCUGGCCUACACCACAGCCGCAGCCACAGCCACACCAGAUCUGAGCUGCAUCUGCAACCUACACCACAGCUCAUGGCAACACCAGAUCUUUAACCCACUAGGCAAGGCCAGGGAUGGAACUUGUGUCCUCGUGGAUAAUAGGUCAGAUUCAUUUCCGCUGAGCCAUGAUAAGAACUCCUUCUUCCCUUUUUUUUGGGAAACUUUUUAAUAAAACAAUUCCCUCCUACAAGGUAUGUUUCCUGAAAAUAGCUUAUUCCUAAGAUUAAUGCCUCCCAGGGUUCUCCCUAUACAAAAUAUUAGUGCCAAUGAAUAUUUUGGAUAUGAUCUUAUUCCACAUUUCAUUUGUAUGGAAAUUGAGAGAAGAGGAGCUAAGGGACUUGCCCAUGUUAUAUAACUAGUUCUAGUGAACUCAGCAUAAGACACAGUCUCCUGGAAUCCUUCCUCUUCUAAUUCCUUGGCCACCAUCACACUGCAUUCUUAUUAAUGGGGUGUUAUUUUCAGGGCAGAGUGUGUCUUGUUCCCGCUUCAGUGACUUGCCAGCAGAAUGAUGCUGCUUUUUAAAACCAUGUAUUGGGCAUAUAAUAUCUCUAGGUAUUGUGUUUAAGCAAUUUAUACAUCAUUAAUUUCAUUUUUAUUCUGACAAUCACCCCGUAAAGUUGUCUCUAGUAAUCCUAUUUUAUUGAUGAGGAAACUGAGAUUUGACCAACAUAAACCAAGUGCUUACUUUUUAUAACUGUGCUAUGUUAGCUUGAAGUACUGUUAUUGAUAAAGUGCUCAGUGACCAGAGAUGCCCCCUGGACCCUAUGUUCUUAAUACCCUAGGGAACAGUUUAAGAUUGUAGUUGACUUGCUCAAUAUAGUCCUUAAAUUUCACCCACAAUAACUCUUCUUUAGGAAAAGUUUGAGAUUAAAUAGCUUCUCCUCCUUUAAUUUAUACCCAUGCAGAAUUUGGAACACUGCCUUGAAAUAGUGCAUGUUUGGCCCCAUCGUCAUAAAAAGUGGCAAAUUAAGCAUAUCCGUAGAGUCUUACUAAAGCGAUUUUCCGAGAUAAGUAGGUAAAAUGGUGUUAUGAAAAUGGCAUUUUGAUAUCUUCUCUUAUUUAAAAGAUAAUCCCCAAACUGCUGCAGUAAUAUACUUUCGUGCUGAUAAUUUAAUGUCUUUGGUAAAUUGAGAGAUGCUUAAGUCUUAUGAACCAAUCAGCACUGUCACGUGCCCUUUAUGUUUUUCCUUUAAAUAGUGCACUGUGAUGCAGUACACACAUUAAAGCACCAGCGCUGUACGUAGCUCUUGCACAUCUUACAGCUCUUGCACAUCUUACGUAGGCUACUUGAGUGAAACAGGCUGUCUUAAAUGUAAUAAUGAGGCUGACUGUCAUGAAUGAUACCCUUAUUUAGGUGUUUCCCCCACCCCAGACAUCUGCUCCCCCCGUCAGAAAUGUCACUUUUAAACAACACUGCAGGUUAGACUCAUCUCUGACUUUCUCUUCAUGGAAUUAUGCUUUUACUAAGAGUUUACUUGGUAAAGGAGGACAAUACAAACUCUUUAUCUUUCAAAAUACUCCUGUAGCAUCUCAAAGUAAUGUGUUGGAAAAUGUAAAAAUAAUGGAGGCAUUCCUUCAAGAAAUCUUUUAUGAGCAGGUGAUAGAAUAUUUUAUCAUUUGUAUAGAUCUGUGUCCCUGGAAGUUAAAUAUUAAAAUUAAAUGAAAAAACAUUGUCCUGAAGGGCUUGUGUAAUUUACAGUAGUUUCAAUUGCAAUCAAGGACUGAAAAUCAAUGGGACGUGUCCUCUUCCAUAUUUAUGACGAGGUAAUGUCCACUGGUGCCCAGGUAUUCAAAUGUGAGUGUUUAGGUUGUUUUUGACAUUCAGAAACAACAGCCUCACUACAUUCAAAAUAUAACAGCCACACAGAGCAAGCCUGACAGUGCUUGCUCUGUGUGGUGAGUUCCGUGUCUUAAGAGUCAGGUGCAAGUUAAGUAGGGCUUUUAAUGAUGGCCAGAUAUAAAGAUAGAGUCUUUAUUUGUGACUGAUACCUUUAUUUGCAGAGCCUUUUUUUUCCUCUCUUGAAUUUGUAUUUAAUAUCAUUAUUCAGGUACUAUACAUAUAUAUGCAUGAGUUUGAUUUUUUCAGACUGAAACCAAUAAACAUAAAACAUGUAACUAGCACCCAGUUUAAGAAACAAGGCAACCCCAGCAACUCAGGAACCAGUGUCUUAUCCCCCAGAGUUACUGCUUUCCUGACUUCUAAUAUUAUUGAUUAGUUCUGCCUUUACAAAUGGCCAGACUGAGGAUUUUGAACUUUAUUUAAGAACACACUGGGAAGAAGCCACAUCAAAAGGUUGGAGGCAGUGAGGUGAUAUCAUCUGAUUUGCAUUUCUAAAAGAUCAAUGGCUGCACUGGAGAGAACCAUCAUAGGGGUCCAGAGAUUAAGUGGAAGGACCAGAGAAGAGGCUGUUUGAUGAAAUCAGCUGGUGGUUUGACCAAGCGCCAUGGCGGUGGAGAUGGAAAGAAAUGGACAGAUUCAAGACACACACACACACACGCUUGCUUGCUUGCGUGAGUGGUUAGAUCCAAUAAAUAAGAAUUUAGAUGUAAGGUGUGACGAAGAAGGAUGCAGGCACUACCAGUGCCCAGGUUUAUGGAUGAGGUCUAAUGUCCUGAACCAGAGAGACUGAGAGGAGGACACAUUUGGCUGAGAAGUGCUGGAGCUCCAGUUUGGGCCUGUUAUUGUGAAAUUGCUGUGAGCUGUCAAAGGGGGAUGACCAAGGAGGUGGCUGAAUACACAGCUCCAUCUGAAAUUUGAAAAAAGAGUCUGAGCUGGAGAUCUAACUUCAAGAAUCAUUGGUAUAGAUUAUAUUCUAGGCCAUGGCUAUUGAUGAGAUCCUUUAGAGAUGAAGUGUAGAGUGAAGACGUGGGCUGUCAGAAACAGGGAGGCAGAGAAAAGGAGACACGAUCCCAAAGGCAGUAACAGAAGAAUGGCUGUUGGUGGCGGGAUGGCAGCAUGUGGUUUCAGAGGAUCCUCCGGAUGAGGGUUGAAGACUGACUUGAGCAGACGCCCUCCCAGGAAUCCAGGAAAGCGGUGAUGCACUCAGUUGUGAUAUUAAGGUUCUGCCUACAAAACAUCCCUCUGUCUUAUACUGUGGCUGUCACUCUGUUCUGUAGACUAAAUGGCUUUUAGCUAUAAUAGAAAGCCACUAAUUUUUGAGGGAAAAAUUGGCAAGUUUGAAUUUGUGGAUGGAAAAGUCAAACUAUUUUUAACAUACCUAUUUGCCAGUCCUACCCGCUAAAAGGUUCUGCCCAGUUUCUAUAUUUGAACAACCACACGUAACCCCACCUCUUCCCUCUCUCCUUCCCACACGCACACCCUUAAUGCUGAAUAUCUUAAUUUUGAUAUCAAAGCUUUUCUGAGGAUGUUAGUCUUUGAAACACUAUCUCCUUUAAUCUUCCCAAGCAUCAUUAUUUGGAGAUGUGUUCUUGAAUAAAGUGCUGCUGGAAUUGGUAAAUGCAUGUUCAUUACUUUACUCAGCCUGAGUUCCUUUGAGACUUUAUAAUUGAACAUUAGUAAUAUGCAUCAUUUUAGAAGUCUUCAGAGAUCAAUCUUGAUGUUCCCUCUUUUAGCUUUGCUGCUUUUACGGUGCUCUUAUAUAUUUAUUGGAAAAGAUGAGAUGAUUUUCUGCUCCUGUAUGCUUUAGUUUGAUUGCUCAGCCAUGAUUGUAUUUUCUGUAUACUUGCACAUGGUAACUGAGAAGAGAGAAUUCUGGUAACAAAGGUGCUGCUUCUAGAUAGAAAAUAUUUUAUUUGAAAGUGCUUAUAACCACCCCCAAGGAACAAAUGAAACUCCGAAGCCCCUAUACAGUUGUAUCAUAGGGCAUAAUUGCCCUUGCUUUAUCUUGUGGUGAUAAACAUGAAUCCUUUUAGGAUUAGAAAUUGUACUCUUAAAAGUGACUGUGAAGAAAAAAAAUGGUAAUUAGGACAACAGAAACAAUCCUAGGCUAAUCCUCUCACCACUGUGGUCUAGGAGGUAUGUGCAUUAGUUAAGGGUCAAUCUAGUCAAGCAGCACCACUGUGAGUUGUGGGAUAAGGGAUUUACGGCAGGACGUGGAACCUCUGCACGGUGGGAACCGAGGGGUGCAGGUCUGGGCGGGAGUUAGGUGGGGGGCCUCAGGCUGCCAUGGUCAGCAGGCUUGGCUCAGACAGAAUCCCUGGGACCAGAACGAAGGACGGGGGGGAGCUGUAACCUGCUGGCAUGUCUUCAUCUUCUGUCAUCACUUCGAAUCACAGUGACCUUCAUUCAGAGUAGUGGCUGCAACCUCACUUUCGCUUCCAAAUCCCUUGUGGACUCCUCCGUGGGCCAACUCUAAUUCAGAGUCACGGGGAGGGCCUUCUGGGGACUCCAGCUGAGUGGUUUGACAGAGAACAAACUACCACGGUGUGGAAUCGGAGUAGCAGGGCUCCUGAAAGUUUUUUUCUACCACGUCAUAUACCAGAAUUGUUGAAUGGAGACAAAAGAAAUGUCAGUGGAGAGUUCCCUUCGUGGCUCAGCAGUUAAUGAACCCAACGAGGAACCUUGAGAUAUGGGUUCCAUCCAUGGGCUCGCUUAGUGGGUUAAGGACCCAGCAUUGCCAUGAGCUGUGGUAUAGGUCACAGACACAGCUCGGGUCCCGCGCUGCUGUGGCUGUGGUGUCGGCCAGCAGCUGUAGCUCCGUUUCGACCCCUAGCCUGGGAACUUCCAUAUACUGCGGGUGCGAGCUUAAAAAAAAAGUCAGUCUGUUUUUCACUAGAGACAAAUGACCUCUUGAACAUGCAAGGUCAGUUUAACAGGAAUUGAGUAUGGUGUGUGUUUAUCAGAUUUAGAUGGGCCUAGGUAUAAUUACUGAAAAAUAUUUACUAUUGAUUAAACAUGUCAUAUUUAGAUAGGAAUUGUAAAUACAAAUUUAGUUGAAUGAUUCUAGUGAGUUCCUUCCUAAAUCUUAUUGGUAGGCAAAUGAAAAGACACGCUGGACUGGAGACAACUCUAUCUAGAUUUUAAUGCUAGCAGUGUUAUAAGCCAGCUCUGUGGCUUUGUAUAAAUAUUUAAUAUGUUUCGUCUUUACAUUCUUUAUUUAUGAAGAUUAAAAGAAAUAAUGCAUGGGGAAACGAAGACGCAUUAUCCAAUCUUCAGAUAUUACCAUGUCUUUAGGGGAAAAGUUUCCUCCAAAUGACAAGAGGUUAACUUAUAUAAUAAACAUUUUUAUCUUAAGUAACAACCUUCUAAUGAAUAGACUCUCUGUGUUACAUCUUAUUUCUAAUUUCAUUGAAGUCUCUCUCAAAGCAGUUGUAAUGUGAGAAUAUUUUUAUUAAAAUUUAAAUACUCUGAUUUCUUGGUUAUUUUUUCCAAGAGAAAUCUUCAUUUAUAUUUUCGGUAAAAACACUGGUUUAGCUUCAGUAAUCAGAGUGCUACUUAUUUUUGUCAUAGAAAUUAUAUUCUUGUGUGUUUUGCUAUAAUAUGCAUAUCUGAAGGAGUACUAGUCAUUGGAUCUAUUUUAUUGAAUUGUCAAAUAUUCCAGUUGUUUCCUCUGUUGUUGUUGCCUCCUUUCCUAAUAAACAAAACUAUAUUAAAUAAAAGAUCAAACACUAUAAAUUCAAAUCCAAAAGCUAAAAUAUGCUAUAAUAUGAUAAAAAUAUAUAUGCAUUCAUCUGUGUGAUUUGUGUGUUACAACAUGAUAUGUAUAAUGCAUUUGUUGAAUUUAAGCCUCUUUAGGACAGAGUUCAAAUUGCAUAGAGCUCAGAAAUCUUGCUAAACAUCUAGUACAAGAAGAUUAUUAAGGUUAGAUAGUCAAAACUGAUGAAGAGGAGUUCCCGUCGUGGCGCAGUGGUUAACGAAUCCGACUAAGAACCAUGAGGUUGCGGGUUCGGUCCCUGCCCUUGCUCAGUGGGUUAACGAUCCGGCGUUGCCGUAAACUGUGGUAUAGGUUGCAGACUUGGCUCGGAUCCUGCGUUGGUGUGGGUCCGGCUGAGGCUGGGGGCUUAGACCCCUAGCCUGGGAACCUCCAUAUGCCGUGGGAGCUGCCCAAAGAAAUAGC
rnacentral:lncRNA from 1 species